rnacentral:rRNA from 1 species
CCUAACACAUGCAAGUCGAACGGUAACGGGAAGCAGCUUGCUGCUUCGCUGACGAGUGGCGGACGGGUGAGUAAUGUCUGGGAAGCUGCCUGAUGGAGGGGGAUAACUACUGGAAACGGUAGCUAAUACCGCAUAACGUCGCAAGACCAAAGAGGGGGACCUUCGGGCCUCUUGCCAUCGGAUGUGCCCAGAUGGGAUUAGCUAGUAGGUGGGGUAACGGCUCACCUAGGCGACGAUCCCUAGCUGGUCUGAGAGGAUGACCAGCCACACUGGAACUGAGACACGGUCCAGACUCCUACGGGAGGCAGCAGUGGGGAAUAUUGCACAAUGGGCGCAAGCCUGAUGCAGCCAUGCCGCGUGUACGAAGAAGGCCUUCGGGUUGUAAAGAAC